rnacentral:rRNA from 1 species
GACGAACGCUGGCGGCGUGCUUAAUACAUGCAAGUCGAACGGAAAGGCCCUGCUUUUGUGGGGUGCUCGAGUGGCGAACGGGUGAGUAACACGUGUGUAACCUGCCCUUGUCUUUGGGAUAACUCCAGGAAACUGGGGCUAAUACCGCAUAGGAUCUCCUGCUGCACGGUGGGGGUUGGAAAGUUUCGGCGGUUGUGGCUGGUCUCGCGGCUUAUGGGCUUGUUGGUGGGGUAGUGGUGUACGAAGUGUGUGAGGGGUAGGCCGCCUGGGAGGGGGACCGGCCACCUGGGGACUGAGGUACGGCCCAGAAGGGAACGGGAGGCAGCAGUGGAGAAUAUGGCGGAAUGGGCGGGAGCGUGAUGUGGCAGCGCCGCGUGCGGAAUGACGGCCUUCGAGUGGUAAACAGCUGUCGACUUUGACAUGGCGUGAGUGACGGUAACGGGUAAGGAAGCACCGGCUAACUACGUG